rnacentral:rRNA from 1 species
UACGUAGGUGGCAAGCGUUGUCCGGAUUUACUGGGCGUAAAGGGCGUGCAGGCGGUUUGUUAAGUGCAGGGUGAAAGCUCCCGGCUCAACUGGGAGAGGUCCUUGCAUACUGGCAAACUCGAGGGAGGCAGAGGAAAGUGGAAUUCCCGGUGUAGUGGUGAAAUGCGUAGAUAUCGGGAGGAACACCAGUGGCGAAGGCGACUUCCUGGCCUGUUCUUGACGCUGAGGCGCGAAAGCUAGGGUAGCAAACGGG